rnacentral:rRNA from 1 species
AUUGAACGCUGGCGGCAGGCCUAACACAUGCAAGUCGAACGGUAACAGGAAACAGCUUGCUGUUUCGCUGACGAGUGGCGGACGUGUGUGUCAUGUCUGGGAAACUGCCUGAUGGAGGGGGUUACCUACUGGAAACGGUAGCUAAUACCGCAUAACGUUGCAAGACCAAAGAGGGGGAGCCUCGGGCCUCUUGCCAUCGGCUUUGCCCUGAUGGGAUUAGCCUGUUGGUGGGGUAACGGCUCACCAAGGCGACGAUCCCUAGCUGGUCUGCGAGGAUGACCAGCCACACUGGAACUAGGACACGGUCCGGACUCCUACGGGAGGCAGCAGAGGGAAAGAUUGCACAAUGGGCGCAAGCCUGAUGCAGCCAGGCGGCGUGGAUGAAGAAGGCCUUCGGGUUGUAAAGUACUUUCAGCGGGGAGGAAGGGAGUAAGUUAAUACCUUUGCUCAUUGACGUUACCCGCAGAAGAAGCACCGGCUAACUCCGUG